rnacentral:lncRNA from 1 species
CUUUUUAAGAGAGAGAGAUAUGCGGAGUCAUGGGAGAGAGACGUGAGGUGUGCGUUUUUUUCAAUUUUCUUUUUCUGUUGGAUCAGAGAGAGAGGGAGUAGGUUAGUUGAGUGAAUUCAGUGGGUGAGUCGUGUGGAAUGUGAAGAGAGUGAAGGAAGAUUUCUUUUCCAAUUUUCUUUUUUUAAUUGCCAACUGUUGGAGCCAGCUGUAGUACUGCUAGUUGUCCACUAGCAGAGCAAGGAAUCAAAUGUUGUCA